UGAGAGAAAGAGUUUAAUUAAUUACAUAUUGUCUUGCUCUGUGGUUUGAGGAAGCAUCCAAAGGGAUCGCAUUGAUCCAUGUCUCUCUGGCCGGGCAUGCAGAUCGAUGCACACACAUCUCGACCAUGCCACUCGAGUCUCGAUCGGAUCAUGCGAUCCUUUUGAAUUUUUCCUCCAUCCAUAUUCAUAUAUAUAGAUCUUCUCAUGUGAUCGAUCACCUUAUUAACCAGUACAUCUUUGAGUUCAUCUAAUUAAGAAGAAGGCCAUAUAUGGGACUGUUUGACAACUUCCUCAAUCCAUCGAUUCUUGUCUGUCUGUACUGUAGCUGCAUGAAGACAUGACCAAUGAUCUAUGCAUACUGAGUGGUGAUACCUUUGUUUCCAUUACCUAUGCUUGAAGACUUGGCAUUCUAAAUCAUGGUCUUCAAUUCCACUUCAUUCAAGGGACUUAGAAAAGGUAAUAUUGAAGCAUAUAUGAACUAUCGUCUGUAGUGUUUCAGGCUUGCUCUGACUUCUGUUUUAAUGAACAAGCACAAACAUCAGGUGCAAGCAUUCCCGACUGCCAUCCCUUAAUUUUGAUAAUUA